rnacentral:rRNA from 1 species
UACGUAGGGGGCAAGCGUUGUUCGGAAUUACUGGGCGUAAAGGGCGCGUAGGCGGCAUGGCAAGUCAGGAGUGAAAGGCCUGGGCUCAACCGAGGAACUGCUUUUGAUACUGCCAAGCUAGAGUGCGGAAGGGGCAACUGGAAUUCCCAGUGUAGCGGUGAAAUGCGUAGAUAUUGGGAAGAACACCUGAGGCGAAGGCGGGUUGCUGGGCCGACACUGACGCUGAGGCGCGAAAGCUAGGGGAGCAAACGGG